rnacentral:rRNA from 1 species
GAUGAACGCUAGCUACAGGCUUAACACAUGCAAGUCGAACGCUUCUUUUUCCAUCGGAGCUUGCUCCACCGGAAAAAGAGGAGUGGCGAACGGGUGAGUAACACGUGGGUAACCUGCCCAUCAGAAGGGGAUAACACUUGGAAACAGGUGCUAAUACCGUAUAACAAUCGAAACCGCAUGGUUUUGAUUUGAAAGGCGCUUUCGGGUGUCGCUGAUGGAUGGACCCGCGGUGCAUUAGCUAGUUGGUGAGGUAACGGCUCACCAAGGCGACGAUGCAUAGCCGACCUGAGAGGGUGAUCGGGCCACAUUGGGACUGAGACACGGGCCCAAACUCCUACGGGAGGCAGCAGUAGGGAAUCUUCGGGCAAUGGACGAAAGUCUGACCGAGCAACGCCGCGUGAGUGAAGAAGGUUUUCGGAUC